GACGAACGCUGGCGGCGUGCUUAACACAUGCAAGUCGAACGGAAAGGCCCUGCUUUUGUGGGGUGCUCGAGUGGCGAACGGGUGAGUAACACGUGAGUAACCUGCCCCUGACUUUGGGAUAACUUCAGGAAACUGGGGCUAAUACCGGAUAGGAGCUCCUGCUGCAUGGUGGGGGUUGGAAAGUUUCGGCGGUUGGGGAUGGACUCGCGGCUUAUCAGCUUGUUGGUGGGGUAGUGGCUUACCAAGGCUUUGACGGGUAGCCGGCCUGGGAGGGUGACCGGCCACAUUGGGACUGAGAUACGGACCAGACGCCUACGGGAGGCAGCAGUGGGGAAUAUGGCACAAUGGGCGGAAGCCUGAUGCAGCAACGCCGCGUGCGGGAUGACGGCCUUCGGGUUAUAAACCGCUUUCGCCUGUGACGAGGCGUGAGUGACGGUAAUGGGUAAAGAAGCACCGGCUAACUACGUG
rnacentral:rRNA from 1 species